CCCUAGCCCGGAUAGAAGUGAAAAUCCUUUUUUAUUCUGAAUGCAGUUCAGGAUAAAAAAGAUUGUAAUGAAUAGCCGGAAAAAGC
rfam:Flavobacterium frigoris strain DSM 15719 genome assembly, contig: Ga0131223_110